CAAGGAGAGGGGAAGGGAAAGCUGGAGAAGGGAAGAAAAAAAAGAGGGAGAGGCGGAUGGAAGUGGGAAGAAAUAGAAGAAGAUAUAAGAUAAAGGUGGAAAAGUGUCUCCAAAAAGAUUUCAGUCUGCGCUGAGCUGGCUGACAGUGAAUUUUUUGGAAGUCAGCAUGGUACAAAGAACAUUUGAAAUGGCCCAUUUAACAGCACCGUACUCCACUCCCAGCCGAUGCCACCAUUUGCAUACUUCAUAUCAGAUGAAGAUGGAUGGUGAAAAUCAGUGUCACUGAGAUGAGCGUUUUAUCAAGCGGAGGCAGGAGCAGAGCGGAUUUAUCAGCUAGAAGAGCAAUGACAGUAGGAUUACCAUGGGCUAAUGGAAACUGCAAUGACCCCUGCACUUGAUGUUCUCCAAGAAGUCUGUCAGCGGUCUAACUUCAGGAUCACUUUGUAAAAUGUAACUUUGUACAAGACAAAUCGCAACAUUAAAAUACUUCCUCUUAUUAAGCUACCAACAGAGUCUGUCAGAUAGCUUAUUUUAGCUAGUUUUAUAGCAUUUUCCAGUUAU